rnacentral:misc_RNA from 1 species
AAAGAAGAAGCAAAAAUAAAUUAUAAUAACAAAUUAAAAUCUCAAUUAACAGAACAAACACGAGAGAUAAUUAAUACCAAAGAAACAAAGAAAGAAAGAAGGAAAGAAGAGCAAAGGCACAGGAAAUCGUCUGGAACUUUCUUCCAGACCCAAAAGGAAUCUCCAAAGAGCUCACAACCGCCCUUUCCCCUCUUGUCGGUUUACGCUUAUUUCUUCAUUUUUCAUCCUUUAUAAUUAUUUUGGAGAUUCCUUUGUUUUCCUUCAAACCCAACCCUUUGAUUCCUCUCCUUUCUUCCUUUCUUUCCCCUUUUCUCACAGUACCCUAAUUCUUUUUCCCAUUUCCUUCGUUUUCAUCUUCUAUUUUACCCAGUUUCUGCUGAUUCAAUCAUCGCAAACAGAUCGAUUAUAGGUGUUAUUGUUUAAUUGAGAUCCGAAAAGGAUGGCGGAAGAACAUAGAUGCCAAGCGCCGAAACUUUGCGUUAAUAACUGUGGAUUCUUCGGGAGUCCGGCGACUCAAGAUCUCUGUUCAAAAUGUUACCGAGAUCUGCAGUUAAAGGAACAACAAUCCUCCUCCGCUAAACUCGCCUUAAACCAAACCCUAACAUCCGCCGCCUCAUCGUCCUUUGCGGAUGCGGCGUUGUUAAAUCCGAAACCGGCUUCAUCGGAAGCGAACCAACCUCUGGCGGAGACGAGGACGGAAGUGGUUCCGACGCCGGCGGCAACACAGCAGCAGCCGAGCCGAUGUACGACGUGCAGGCGGCGCGUGGGGUUGACGGGGUUCCAGUGCAGGUGCGGGAUGGUGUACUGUGGGACUCACCGGUACCCGGAGCAACACGGUUGCGAAUUUGACUUCAAGCGGAUGGGGAAGGAGCAGAUCGCGAAGGCGAAUCCGGUGGUGAAAGGGGAGAAACUGCAGAAGAUCUGAGAAGAGGAG